GUAUAAUCUUGUGCCAAGAAGAGUCUAUUAAGGCAGUUUCCUGUGAAGAAAUGGUGUGAGUGAUGUGGAAGGGAGUUGAAUGAUUUUAGAUUUUGAUGAUGACAAAGAACAUGUUAGUGUUGCUAAGGGAAUGAUAACUAGGAGACUGUGGUCACUGUGAUAACCACUCAAUGCUAAAUGAUGAUUGAGAACCAGAGAAAGGAGAGGGUUGGAGUUUGGAAAGAAGCUUGUCUUUUGUAACCGUCUAUAUACUCUCUCCUCCAGUCUUUUCAUGAGUGUAGGAAGUCAAACUAUGUGAGAGAGAAUUGUAGAAAGCAUGGAAGCAAUUCCAUGCAUCCGCAGAUGGGCACCUGGGGAAUCCUGGGUCAGGUUUCCGGUGAGUUGAAAAUGAUCAAAGGAAAACUUCCUUCCUCAAAGCAUCGUAGGAGGACAUGGAAGCAGAGUGCUGGGGAGGACCAGGAAAAGCCAGGGAUGAGAUGAGACAGCUAUAAGUAAGCAGCCCCAGUGAGUGUGAAGGAUUGGUAGAAAUGUUACUGAUGAUGUGAAAGAUUUAGACAGAGGGAUUAGGUAUGGUGUAUGAUGAGUUUGGU
rnacentral:lncRNA from 1 species